rnacentral:rRNA from 1 species
AACCGCAUGGUUCUUGGCUGAAAGAUGGCGUAAGCUAUCGCUUUUGGAUGGACCCGCGGCGUAUUAGCUAGUUGGUGAGGUAACGGCUCACCAAGGCAAUGAUACGUAGCCGAACUGAGAGGUUGAUCGGCCACAUUGGGACUGAGACACGGCCCAAACUCCUACGGGAGGCAGCAGUAGGGAAUCUUCCACAAUGGACGCAAGUCUGAUGGAGCAACGCCGCGUGAGUGAAGAAGGCUUUCGGGUCGUAAAACUCUGUUGUUGGAGAAGAAUGGUCGGCAGAGUAACUGUUGUCGGCGUGACGGUAUCCAACCAGAAAGCCACGGCUAACUACGUGCCAGCAGCCGCGGUAAUACGUAGGUGGCAAGCGUUAUCCGGAUUUAUUGGGCGUAAAGCGAGCGCAGGCGGUUUUUUAAGUCUGAUGUGAAAGCCCUCGGCUUAACCGAGGAAGUGCAUCGGAAACUGGGAAACUUGAGUGCAGAAGAGGACAGUGGAACUCCAUGUGUAGCGGUGAAAUGCGUAGAUAUAUGGAAGAACACCAGUGGCGAAGGCGGCUGUCUGGUCUGUAACUGACGCUGAGGCUCGAAAGCAUGGGUAGCGAACAGGAUUAGAUACCCUGGUAGUCCAUGCCGUAAACGAUGAAUGCUAGGUGUUGGAGGGUUUCCGCCCUUCAGUGCCGCAGCUAACGCAUUAAGCAUUCCGCCUGGGGAGUACGACCGCAAGGUUGAAACUCAAAGGAAUUGACGGGGGCCCGCACAAGCGGUGGAGCAUGUGGUUUAAUUCGAAGCAACGCGAAGAACCUUACCAGGUCUUGACAUCUUUUGAUCACCUGAGAGAUCAGGUUUCCCCUUCGGGGGCAAAAUGACAGGUGGUGCAUGGUUGUCGUCAGCUCGUGUCGUGAGAUGUUGGGUUAAGUCCCGCAACGAGCGCAACCCUUAUGACUAGUUGCCAGCAUUUAGUUGGGCACUCUAGUAAGACUGCCGGUGACAAACCGGAGGAAGGUGGGGAUGACGUCAAAUCAUCAUGCCCCUUAUGACCUGGGCUACACACGUGCUACAAUGGAUGGUACAACGAGUUGCGAGACCGCGAGGUCAAGCUAAUCUCUUAAAGCCAUUCUCAGUUCGGACUGUAGGCUGCAACUCGCCUACACGAAGUCGGAAUCGCUAGUAAUCGCGGAUCAGCACGCCGCGGUGAAUACGUUCCCGGGCCUUGUACACACCGCCCGUCACACCAUGAGAGUUUGUAACACCCGAAGCCGGUGGCGUAACCCUUUUAGGGAGCGAGCC